rnacentral:lncRNA from 1 species
AAAUUUUCAAGGUAAAUGACGACUCAGUUAUUAUUUACGACUUACGAGCUUACGACAGGUAAUAAAGAAUUUUGUGCUAGUCCUUUUGUUUAUCUUUACUGUUUCUUCGUGCCUAUAAGUAUCAGGACAUUACCGAUGAAUCUUCUCUUGAGCUUGGUAUGGAACCAUGCAUUGUAUUAUGUGAUGCCUCCAAAAAUGCUAUAAAAAUAUACCUGAACAAGAACCUGUUUCGGAAAAAUGUGACUCAUUUGAAGGAGCAUUGCAAUGCUUAAUUGCUCUUUAUUUUGUCUUCAAUUUGGAAUAUCCCAAAGAAGCAUCAUACAUUUUCGAGUUCCUUUAAAAUAUAUUUUAGAAAUACACCCCGAAGCAGGAACCAAAUCGAAAAAACAAAAUCUUUCGAAAAGAAAAGUUAUUUCAUAUUUAACGAAGUUAGCCAAGAUAGCAUAAUAAAUUAUUAUUUUAUUUAUGUAAAUCUUAAAUAACUUUGGUUUAAAACUGAUUUCUUAUAUUAAUUAAUAACUUAAUGUAUUAAUAUAACGACAAAGUAAAGUUUGGAACAAAUUCGUUUUAAAAUUGAAAGGUUUGAAAAAACAACGCUCGGACCCAUUUAUUUUUAUUUUUAGUAGCGCUUUUUUUGCCAAUGUAAACUUUCUAUACAGGGUUUGUCGUAUUUUUUACAACUAUUGGUGCAUAAUGACAUUUGGUCUGUAAAAAAAUACACAGUGGUCCGGAACACGGUAUAUGAUUUGAUGAACCAAAAUGUGUAAUUUUUUACCAAAAUUUGAAGCUGACCAAUGAAAAUGGUGGUAAUUUACUUUCAUAAUUUUGUCAGAGCAAACGAUGUAAGUACCGUAUCAAAUUCUAUAGUGAAAGCGACUAAUGUGCUACUCCUCAGGCAUUUCCCUUACCUUACUUUCCUAUUUAAAAUUUAAAUUUUAAUAUCUAUUUUUCGACUUAUAAUGUGAAAUAAAAUAUGGCAGCUGUCAAAAUUUUUGAGAAAUAUUUUUUACAAAUAUGAGAAAAUAAAUAUUCAAAAGUCAAAAUAGGAAAAUUCCGUUUUGCUCUAUUAUUAAUGACAUUACUGCUAUACAGCAUACAAAAAAUAUGAAAUGUCUGCCUGAUGUUUAACACCUUGUAACUUAAAAAUAGAAUGAAAGUAUAGCGCAUGUUAUACAGCAAAAUUCUUGGAAUAUAUUCCAAAAUGUAAUCACAUACAGGGUGUUCCAAUUUAGAUAAAAAAGUUGGUAUUGGCUGCGGUAACAUGACACACCCUGUAUAAGAAGUUUUAAUUGAAAAAAAAAAGCCUAGCAAAAAAUAAAAAUCGACGUGCCCGCGCGUUUCUUUUUUUAAGUCCAUAAAUGUUAAAUGAAUUUAUUCCAACCUUAAAGGGUUUUUUUUUGUGAGAUUUAGCUUGUAAGUAGGUACCUAUAUUAACAUAGUUGAUAUUAUAUGGGGCCCCAAAAUGUAUAUAGACUAUGUCAAAGUUCUUGGCUACUUCAAGAGUUUUAAGAGUUUAUUUUUUUGUUUGUAUAUUGAAGAGUUUAAGUUUCAAAUAUACUUGUUAUUUCCCUUUUUUUUUUUUUGAAAACUUACCAUGUAGUUUUGUUAUGUUCCUAUUGAAUUUCCAUUGAGUUUUGAAAAAAUAAAUCCUUUGUAGUUUUUUAAAUUGCCA